rnacentral:misc_RNA from 1 species
GUGGCAACGACUUUGCUAUCUGCAGAACAGAAUACUCAAAUUUAGGCAUAUCUGUAUACAAUUGAAUGCUUGCAGUAAGCACCUCAAACUUGGCUAUCCUAAACUGGGAUUAUCAUUUCAUUUCUUUCCUUCAGAUUGCUGAAGUGAUUUAAUUUAGUUUGUAAAACAUUAAAUGUAAAUAUGAGAAGCACAAGGAAAUUUAAUGCCUCAGAAAAAUUUUGAACAACAAAACCAGGAAAUAAAUAUAUAAAUGGAGAAUAAAAACAUAUUUAAAAAUUAAACCUGCACUGUUUCCAAAUUUGGUUG